rnacentral:lncRNA from 10 species
GUAGCUCAGGAAUCUGCUCCUCCCUCCAGCACCAUGGCAACAGGCCUCUGAGAACUGCUGAUCUGACGGGGGGAUGAGCCCCAUAUUUGUUUCCCAGGGUUGUCAUUAAGAAACUGCCACAAACCGGCUUAAAACAACAGAAUUUAUCUCUUGCAGCCCUGGACGCCGGAAAUCUGAGAUGAAGGUGCCGGCAGGGCCCUGCCCGCUCUGAAGUCUCUGGGGGAAGCUUCUUUGCCUCUUCCAGCUUCUGGUGGCUCCACGCACUGCUGGGCUCGUGGCUGCCUCCCUCUGGUCUCUGCCCCGGUCUGCACGUGGCCUUCCCUGCGUGUUUCUGUGUCCUUGCUGCUGCUUAGAAGCACAGCAGCCAUUGGAUUAGGACCCACUCUCAUCCAGCAUGGCCUCAUCUUAACUCAUUACGUCUACAAAAUCUCCAUUUCCAAAUAAGGUCCCAUUCUGGGGUCCUGAGUGGACACGGCGGGGACACCAUCAACCCAUCCUAAGGCCUUCUUGGGCAGCCUCAGGGGGAAGCCGGACCAGCCUUAAGUGAAAGUGGAGGGUUCCAAGGAUCCUACAAAGGGGCCCUGACCCAGUCGGUGGGCAGCAGGGGACAGAGUGGACGUGGAACUUGUAGACAGACAGAACGAUGCACAGGACUCACCCCCACCACCAGAGGUCUGUGUGCAGAGACGACAGAGGGCAGCGUCCCUCCCACUGCCCAUCACCCAUGGAGUGUGGAAAAUCCCGGUCAAGACAGCAGCCCGGGCCGUGAAAUCGAAUCUGGGGGUCCCAAGCAUCGGCGUUUGUGCAGCUCUCGGUGGUUCCAAAGUCAGCCAAGAUCUCGGUUCUGGGCCGCCAGGGGCUCUGGAGUCAGACACCUCGUGUCUAAGUCUCCACCAGUUACUGACCGAGCGACCUCAGCAGUACGUUCACCGCUCCGGGUGUCCCUGUCCCCUGUGGAUGGCAUCAUUGCCUCCCUUAUGGAGAUGAGAAGAAUCAAACGGGAACGUUGGCUCCGUGCCUGUCACGAGGGAAGUGCUUGAUAGACGGUGCCCUUCUGCGCCACGUAGAGAGAAAACCGAGGGAGCCUCAUUUAAACUGCAGGCCUGGGAAGGCCUGUGGACUUUCAGGGAAGCUGAGAAGGGGCCCUGGCACCGGUCUGCAUGCCAGCUGGGCAGGGCAGGGUGAGCCUGGUGCAUAUACCUGGGGCCACACAGCAGGGCCUCAUGCUUCUUUUUUGGACCCACUUGACGGAUGGGGAGACUGAGUUCAGAGAGGCCAAGUGGCUUGCCAGGGUCACGCAGCUGAUACACAGCAAAUGGAUUUUAAACCCACCUGACCGCAAUUCCAAGCAUUGUUUUCUUGGGUCAAACCUUGGGAGCUCAAAGGGUGAUCCUGACCUGUGAUGGCUCCAUUUUAUGCAGAAUAUUUUGUUUUGUUUUUUAAUUUGCCUGUUUACUCUAAUGUUCCCAGUCGUUUUCCUCCCAGGGAUCCUCACUCACAAGUGGACUCUGACGGCCUCGGGGGCUCAGAUUUCACAAUCGGCUAAGGCUAACAUAAGGCCUUCCAGGUUACAAGGCUGAAAGUUAUUUUCCAUCAUUCAUUUGUUCACUUUACAUAACAUGCACCUAUUGAGCACCUGCUGUAUACUGGGAACCAAGUUAAACACCAGGUUUGCAGAGGUGGACAAGGCCCUGUUCCUGCCUCCAGGGUCUCCAACCCAUCAGGAGACGCAGGCCCUUUGACAGACACUGGUGAUAAAAUGACAGUGGAGGUCUGUUCA